rnacentral:rRNA from 1 species
AAAUGAAUUGACGGGGCCCGCACAAGCGGUGGAGCAUGUGGUUUAAUUCGACGCAACGCGAAGAACCUUACCAGGGCUUGACAUCCCCUGACCGCGUAUGAAAGUACGUUUUCACCCUCGGGUGACAGGGAGACAGGUGGUGCAUGGUUGUCGUCAGCUCGUGUCGUGAGAUGUUGGGUUAAGUCCCGCAACGAGCGCAACCCUUGUCUUUAGUUGCCAUCAUUCAGUUGGGCACUCUAAAGAGACUGCCGGUGUCAAACCGGAGGAAGGUGGGGAUGACGUCAAGUCCUCAUGGCCUUUAUGACCAGGGCUACACACGUACUACAAUGGCCGGUACAAAGGGCAGCCACUUAGCGAUAAGGAGCCAAUCCCGUAAAGCCGGUCUCAAUCCGGAUUGGAGUCUGCAACUCGACUCCAUGAAGUUGGAAUCGCUAGUAAUCGCAGAUCAGCACGCUGCGGUGAAUACGUUCCCGGGCCUU